UUGGCUCUUACCCUACUCUUGCCUCCAUUUGGCCCAACUCCAUGAUUCCUGACAAGCUGGCCUCACCAAACCACAGGGAGUAUUCAUUGCAUCUCACAGAUAAGGAAAAGGUUGAAGUCACUUCCUUUCUCUUCCUUUGUACCGUCUAACAGCCAUCUUGCUAACAAAGAAGAUCUCCAAGUGAAUGCCUCCCUCUUGUCAAGGGGGAGCUUAAUCCAGAGUUAAUUUUGACCUUGGCUCUUUGGUGAGAGUCACCUAGUCAGAGUAUUUCUCCAGAGAAAUGUGGUCUCCACAUCUUUGUUUCCCACAGCAAAGAGCCUCCUUUCUUUGGGCUCCCAGUAACUUGGGCUGUCAGAAUUAUCUAGUGUCAAAAAGACCACUUAGAAAUAGGCACCCAUCCAUUCAGUUUGGACAAAAACAAAUCCAAUGAAACAAAUACAAAGAAGGCAGAUUUCAGUCGUAUAUGUGGAUCCGCUCAAGACAGGGCAGUUAAUAAAAACCAAACUAUUUGAGGUGAAUUUUGAUAUAUAUUUUUUAAGGGUUCUUUAGGCAGAACAGAAUCAAGGUUUCUCUGUGCCUCCAUGGGCAGCAUCUUGUUAAUUGUCUUGAGGAAUUCUCUGGAAAACGUCAGCUGAUUUGAACCCUUCUAUUAUUUUUAUUUAAUUUUCAGAUGUGCUCUGAUGUUCUUUGGAAAAUAAGCCCUCAUGAUUAAUAUCCCCAGCAGAGCUCAAUCAGUAGAGAUUCUGAGAUGGUAUGUGCUAUUUCUCCGUAUUUUCAGGGUCUACUUAAUCUCUCGAUUCCUCCUUCAAAUAAGAGAUAAGACUUCAUUGUACCAGGUAAAGGAGAAGAAAGGAAGGUUUUUAAAAAUGAGGAUAUGGCAACUUCUGAAAAGCAAGUAAGGUGUGAUGAGUUUUCCUUCCAGCUCCUGGCAAUGACCUGCUAGAGAGGUAAGGUGAGAGAAGAGACACUCUGGAAAUAGAAGAGCUCAACGCCAGGAAGGAGUCAUUUUUUCGAAUAAGAAGGUAAAGGAGAAAUGCCAACUGGAGGUUAAUUUUCUCAGUGAAAAGGUAUGAUUAACUUUUAGAUUCUUCCCUUCCAGGCCAAAACAUUAUAAGGAUGUCUGCCUCUUCUUCAGCAGAAUCUGAAGUCCAUUUUCAGUUCUCCCGGAAAUGGACUUGGACGCGUCUGCGCAUGAGUGGUCCGUAGCGAUGCCGGAGCUCAUCUGAGAGACAAGAUGUCACGGAGGAGCGCUUCCUGACAUUCAAGGGCAUGGCCAGAUGCCUCUGGAUAGCUGCGCUGCCCAGUUCCAGUCAAGAGUAGUUAUCAUCAGCCGUUUCUGCACUGUCCAAACCCUGCUUGGAACACAGCUCAUUUGAAACCUCGUAGAGACCAGCAGACUCAAAGUUCUCCACUAACAGAAACAGGAGGAAUUACGUGCAGGAUGUUUAGUUGACCACUCACCUAACACAAAUAAUCAUUUUCGGGAAACUCGAUGGAACGUGGAAAUCAAGAUGCUGAAAACCAAAGAAGCAAUUGCUCCUGCCCUGACUCCAUCUGGGAUUUGGAAUGCAUUCAGAGAAGUGGCUGUGUAUGGAGACUGGAAAUGGAAGAGGCAUCCAAGGUCAUGCCUUUCAGGCUUCCUUCAAAUUCUACAGCUACUGUGAAGAAAGUUGCAUUCCCACAGAGAACAUGUCAGACUGGAAGAAAAUUAUGACAAAAGGUCUCCAAAAGGACCUCUGAAACUUGGAUCUUAUCUCAUUCCACAAGCCAAAGCCGGUUUCCUAAAUCAAAGAAUGAAACAAAGUACAUCUUUAUCAAGUAUCGUUUUGACAUUAUUCCCCUUUGUAUGACUGGACAGGCCCUCCCAUUGUCUCUUUAAAUAAUUUUUAAACACUCCUGAACUUUGGCUUGGAGACCCUCCUUUGAAACGAAUUUUCCUCCCUGGACAUACUAGCUCAUAUUUUUUUACUUCAACCUGGCAAAAGUUAUUAUCCCUCAUAAAACUUUACCCUCUCUCUUCUCUAAGCCAUCACAUAAACCAUUCCUCCUGAUUAUAUGUGCCUCUUCUCAAGCCAUAUCCAUUACCCUGUCAACUUUCCAUGGAGGUUAAUCUACUAGUGAGAAUUUAAGUGGACUCCUGGGGCAGAGUAUUCUUACCGUGGAUUGGGCUCCGGCUCUGAAGGCAGCCAGUCCAUGUUCAAAUUCCAGUUCUACCCGGUCCUGGCUAUGCCAUGUGGGGCGGGCUACUGAACCCAUGUCACUGUUUCCUCACCUGCAGAAUGAAUACGAUACUAAUAAUGGCGGGAUCACAGCUGUUCUGAGGACUGUAUGAGAUCUUGCAUGUAAGGAACUUAAUUCACGGUAGACAAUCAUCGACUUCAGCAAAUAUUAGUCCCCAUUAUUACAAUUCUUUUGGAGUGCAAAAUAAUUGGAGAUGGGUGCAAAGAGAUAUCAUCACACCAUUCCCUAUAAGAAUGAAAAAUGAGAAGAAGUUUACGCCCAACCAUAGUUGACUAUGCAGCCAGUUAAGAGCCAUCUUCUGAAUAUUGGGAACUGUUCAGACUAUACUGAACUACAAAAUUCAGAGAAGUGACUAAUGAUUGAAUUACUCAUACAAAAGAAAACGUCUUGCCUAACUUGUUUAAGCAGCAUGUCUGAAGCAUGGAUCUACAAGAAGUUAAAAUAUGACCCCCCCAAAAUAGAGUUCCAAGGACAACUGAGUUUGGGAAACACUGGAUUAAACAAAUGUGACUGGCAGUUAUCUCCUUACUGCCAGGUUCUCAGGCCUUUAACUUAUGAGUUGGAAGCUCAUAUGAAUGUGGCACAAACUUGACCCUUACAUCUGACUAUGGAACUCUUUUAUGCAUGCGAAGAAUUUAAAAUUCCCAACGAACACAUUGUUCAAGCAAAUAAGAUGACCUGGAGAGUUUGUGCAAGAUAAAAGAAAGAAAGUUCUGCUUGAAAAUAAGCAAGUGUGGUUCUGCCCAGCCUGACAUGCUCCUGGCAGCCAGGUGUGUGUUGUACAGUGACUGCUCUUUCAUUGCAGGUGUUGAUUUGCCAAACGUCACCUUUCUUCUGUAUGACACAGGCAUGGCCAGACAUAGCCACCUCUCAAAGUGUUGAGACAGCCUCUCAGUUCCCAUCCAACAAAAGGGACAAUGCUUAGAAGUUCAACAGUGAGGCCACCAUUAGCUGGAUGGGUGAGAAGUCUGACAAUGAUUAUCAUACCUUACCUAGAAAGAUUGCAAGUCAGGAAGCUUUCUGCUCUGUUUCCUCUGCGGCCAAGUAGAGGUGGUAACAAUCUAACCUUUCCUCACAAAGCUGCAGGAAGGAAUGAUUACUGAAAGUAAUAAUAAAAAGAUGCUCAACAUCAAUGGAAACCACAGUGAGAUACGAGGGACUCUCUUGUUCAUUGUUGGGGGAAAUACGACACAAUACAGCACUUUGGAAGACAAUUGGUGGUUUCUUACAAAAUUAAACAAACUCUUACUAUACCAUCCAGCAAUCAUGCUCCUUGGCAUUUACCCAAAGGAGUUGAAAACUAUGUCCACACCAAACCUGCACGUGGGUCUUUAUAGCAGCUUUAUUUAUAAUUGC